GUUAGCUUUCUCCACCUCCGCACUAGGACACAUAUUGCUAAUGCCUGAUACAUCUGUAAAUUAGGAAAUCAAAUCGAUGCUCCUACUAUGAUCAUUUUCUUUGCCUUUGUGUUGUCACUUGGCCCUGUCAAACUGUCGGGAUGAAGAUCCAUUUAAUUUUGCUGCUGUCAUGUCAUCAGGUGAGCUUAUGUGCUUAUUCUCAUUAAAUUUGUAUAUAGCAGAUUUCACUGUAUCCAAGACUGAAACUUAAGUAUAUUAUUCUACAAAGAAUCAGAAGUAUGUCUCACUCAUGUGAGGCUCAUACAUCAGGGAUAUUCCUAUACAGUUACAUUCAAGCCAGUACUAACUUUUGCUACUCUACAGCUCAAAAAAAAAAACUUCUGCUACUCUAGGGCUUUUUAAAUAUUGAUGACAGUGAUUCUUGUGCUCAGAUUAUCCAAUGAUUAUGUUUUAAGUUGUGUGAUGUGAUUGUUGUCGAUGCAAAGAUCAAACAAAAUGCUCAUGCCGGCCAAAAAUAAGGGAAGAUUAUCCUCCAUGUCUGAGAGAUUUCACUGGAAGCAUCUAUGAUCAUGUAUGUUUGCUGAUGCUGGUCAUUUUCAAGCUGCAACCAUGUGUUGUUAUAAUAUGUUAAGAGUUGCGGCGAAAUUUGCAGAUGGCCUCCAAUCAGGAAUGAAAAUUUUCAUCAUAUGUGCCUGCAUCUAGGUGGCAAGUGAGUUUUGUUCUUCAUUAUCUUUUCCCCUUUGUUUCACCUACUUUAUGCGAGACAUGGGGAUCGCUUUAUUUAUUCUCUCGCAUUAGUAUACAUUCUCUUUUCAGCAUAUGAGGCUGCAUGUCACCAAAAUACAUGGGGAUUGGUUACUUUGUCUGCUAUAUAAAGCAAGACGAUGCAAAAAAUGCAUGUGUGCUUUAUCUGUUAUGUUUCUUUGUAUGUAUAUGUGGUUAUUGAUUUUUUGAUUGCUCACUGUAUAAUAUUUAUAUCUGUGAUGAUCAUUGGUUUGCUUACAUCCCCUCCAGGGAAUACAAAGAGAAAAAGCAUGAAGGCGAUUUAUAUUAUAUUGAGAAUAAAACAUAUGGUGGGUGUAUGGUAAGAGAGUUUUUAGAUUUUUCAGGUCUUGGAUGAAAUUGUUAGUAUGAUCUCUGUGUGCUCCAAUUCUUUUAUGAUAUUAGGUUAGUGCGAUUUUCAUAUAGAGGUACUGAGGUAAUAAGGAACUGGGACUAAUAAACAGAGUAUCUCCUCUUUCUUUGAAUACCUUGCUUCUCAAGUUGCUUCUAUAUGAGUUAUUUUUGCUCUCAAAAGAAAUUCAGUAGAGCAAAAGGAUCCUCAUGAAUUACUUAGUAGUUCAGUAGGGUGGGAAGACAGGCAUUUUAUUGUUCGUGGACAGAGGGAGUAAUGUGUUGAACCUUGAAAGUGUAAAUUGGUUUUUUAUUUACCCUGGAAGU